UACGUAGGGUGCAAGCGUUAAUCGGAAUUACUGGGCGUAAAAGCGUGCGCAGGCGGUUUUGUAAGACUGUCGUGAAAUCCCCGGCUCAACCUGGGAACUGCAUCCGUGACUGCAUCGCUGGAGUGCGGCAGAGGGGGAUGGAAUUCCGCGUGUAGCAGGUGAAAUGCGUAGAUAUGCGGAGGAACACCGAUGGCGAAGGCAAUCCCCUGGGCCUGCACUGACGCUCAUGCACGAAAGCGUGGGGAGCAAACAGG
rnacentral:rRNA from 1 species